rnacentral:lncRNA from 1 species
UACUGGCCGUUAAAAAUUAUCAAUUUUGUGAGCUUUUGAUCGUAAGGUAAAUAAUGUCAAAAAAUUAUAAAAUUUGAUUUCUAAAUGUUUCAAAUGCUCUAGAUAACGUUUAACGGUGUGGAUCGUCGAUUCGGAAGCUCUAUCAUCGAAAACAACUUAUGAGUACGAGGGCGAUCAUACUCAUAAUAGUAUAGUAGCCGGACUCUAUAUAUAUAAAUAUAUAUAUAUUAUAUUUAAUCUAUAUAUAAAAAUUAUAAUAAUAAUAUAUAUAGUAUAUUAAUUAUUAUAUAUUUAUUAUAUAGCCGAAUUUUUGAUCUCGAAUUUUUAAUUGAUGAACGUAUUAUAUCCGUAUAAAUCACGUAUCCGAAUAAUUACCGAGCCCAUUUUUUAGCCGUAUUUUUCAACGAAUUUAAAAAUUUAAAAACGAAUUUUAUCCGAAUUAUACCCGUACCGAAUUUUUGCGGAAUCCGAAUUAACUAACUAUGUUAC